GUACUUGCUUUGGCAGCACAAAUACUAAAAUUGAAAUGAUACAGACAUUAUCAGCAUGACCCCUGCUCAAGGCUGACACACAGAUUCAUGAAGCAUUCCAUGUUUUU